rnacentral:lncRNA from 1 species
GGUGGCUCGAGCUCACACACGCUGAGUAGACACGUGCCCGCUGCACCCUGGGUAAAUACAGACCCGGAGCCGAGCGGAUUCUAAUUUAGACGCCCGCGAACGCUGCGCGCACGCACACGUGUCCUCGGCUCGCUGGCACUUUCGUCCCGCCCCCUCCGUCGCGUGCCGGAGCUGACCCGGAGGGGUGCUUAGAGGUAUGGCUCCGCGGGGUCAAAAGGAGAAGGAUCAGUGAGAGCGGCAUCCCCACACCCUCCCCUAGAACUGUCCUUUCCCCAUCCAGUGCCUCCCAAAUCUCUCUUAGUCCCCAAAUGUAUCCCCGCCCUAAGGGGCGCUGGUGGGAGGAGCUAAAUGUGGGGGCGGAGCUCGGAGUCCAGCUUAUUAUCAUGGCAUCUCAGCCAGGGCUGGGGUAGGGGUUUGGGAAGGGCAACCCAGCAUCCCCCGAUCCCAGAGUCGCGGCCGGGGAUGACGCGAGAGAGCGUGGUCGCCCCCAGAAGGCCCCGGGCCAUCAUGCCGGCCUCCACGUAGACCCCAGGGGUCGCUCACUCCUGCCAGCUCGCCUUCACCAAGGCCAGGAGCUUAGCGCACGCUCGCCUCCCGCCCCCCCGCCGCCUCUGCCGCCGCCCCCUCCUUGGAAACCAAGUUACCAACGUUAAACCAAUCCCCGAGCGCAACUCUGCCUCCCCCACACCCCACCCGCCGCGCCGCGCGGAGCCGUCCUCUAGCCCAGCUCCUCGGCUCGCGCUCUCCUCGCCUCCUGUGCUUUCCCCGCCGCGGCGAUGCCAGGGCCUUCGCCAGGGCUGCGCCGGGCGCUACUCGGCCUCUGGGCUGCUCUGGGCCUGGGGCUCUUCGGCCUCUCAGCGGUCUCGCAGGAGCCCUUCUGGGCGGACCUGCAGCCUCGCGUGGCGUUCGUGGAGCGCGGGGGCUCGCUGUGGCUGAAUUGCAGCACCAACUGCCCUCGGCCGGAGCGCGGUGGCCUGGAGACCUCGCUGCGCCGAAACGGGACCCAGAGGGGUUUGCGUUGGUUGGCGCGGCAGCUGGUGGACAUUC